AAAGUCGUUGGCGGUAGGCCUAUACAUGCACGUCGUAACAAGGUAACCGUAAGCUGGCUUCUUUGCCCGUAGUGGCGGACGGGUGAGUAAUGUCUGGGAAACUGCCUGAUGGAGGGGGAUAACUACUGGAAACGGUAGCUAAUACCGCAUAACGUCGCAAGACCAAAGAGGGGGACCUUCGGGCCUCUUGCCAUCGGAUGUGCCCAGAUGGGAUUAGCUAGUAGGUGGGGUAACGGCUCACCUAGGCGACGAUCCCUAGCUGGUCUGAGAGGAUGACCAGCCACACUGGAACUGAGACACGGUCCAGACUCCUACGGGAGGCAGCAGUGGGGAAUAUUGCACAAUGGGCGCAAGCCUGAUGCAGCCAUGCCGCGUGUAUGAAGAAGGCCUUCGGGUUGUAAAGUACUUUCAGCGGGGAGGAAGGGAGUAAAGUUAAUACCUUUGCUCAUUGACGUUACCCGCAGAAGAAGCACCGGCUAAC
rnacentral:rRNA from 1 species